AUUGAACGCUGGCGGCAGGCCUAACACAUGCAAGUCGAGCGGAUGAAGGGAGCUUGCUCCCUGAUUUAGCGGCGGACGGGUGAGUAAUGCCUAGGAAUCUGCCUGGUAGUGGGGGACAACGUUUCGAAAGGAACGCUAAUACCGCAUACGUCCUACGGGAGAAAGUGGGGGAUCUUCGGACCUCACGCUAUCAGAUGAGCCUAGGUCGGAUUAGCUAGUUGGUGAGGUAAAGGCUCACCAAGGCGACGAUCCGUAACUGGUCUGAGAGGAUGAUCAGUCACACUGGAACUGAGACACGGUCCAGACUCCUACGGGAGGCAGCAGUGGGGAAUAUUGGACAAUGGGCGAAAGCCUGAUCCAGCCAUGCCGCGUGUGUGAAGAAGGUCUUCGGAUUGUAAAGCACUUUAAGUUGGGAGGAAGGGCAGUAAGUUAAUACCUUGCUGUUUUGACGUUACCAACAGAAUAAGCACCGGCUAACUUCGUGCCAGCCGCCGCCGUAA
rnacentral:rRNA from 1 species